GUUGCCAUAUGGCAACGCUAGGCGCUUGUACUCAGUAAAAGGACGAAUAUUUUGUUUUGUUUUACAAGAGGUUUCUCGCUUGCUGAGGCGCUGGAGAUUCUUUAUAAUGACGAUAUUGAAGGUGAUGUGUUUCUUAAGCCCCCAGAUCCGAAUGUAGACACAGAUGAAGAUUCGGGAGAUGAACAUGUUGGCGGAUCAUUAGACAACCUGUCCUCUCGUCAGCUACGAGCUAAUGCCGAAAUAAGAAUGCCAAAUAACGAAAGUAUUGGUGUUGAUUAUGAGCACUGUAAUCCGCCAGCACCAUUAACGCGUACUGCACAAGAUCCAAUUGUACCUGAAACAGCUACACAACGUCCAAAUAUACCAGAGCCAUCUGUAUCUGAGAACACCAUUGACUGAAGGGCAC